rnacentral:rRNA from 1 species
GGGCCCGCACAAGCGGUGGAGCAUGUGGUUUAAUUCGAUGAUACGCGAGGAACCUUACCAGGACUUAAAUGUAAGUUGCAUGAUUCAGAAAUGAAUCUUUCUUCGGACUACUUACAAGGUGCUGCAUGGUUGUCGUCAGCUCGUGCCGUGAGGUGUCAGGUUAAGUCCUAUAACGAGCGCAACCCCUAUCGUUAGUUACCAGCAAGUAAUGUUGGGUACUCUAGCGAGACUGCCGGUGCAAACCGCGAGGAAGGUGGGGAUGACGUCAAAUCAUCACGGCCCUUACGUCCUGGGCCACACACGUGCUACAAUGGCCGGUACAGAGAGCAGCCACUACGCGAGUAGGAGCGAAUCUUCAAAACCGGUCUCAGUUCGGAUCGCAGUCUGCAACUCGACUGCGUGAAGCUGGAAUCGCUAGUAAUCGGAUAU